AGUGAACGCUGGCGGUAGGCCUAACACAUGCAAGUCGAACGGCAGCACAGUAAGAGCUUGCUCUUACGGGUGGCGAGUGGCGGACGGGUGAGGAAUACAUCGGAAUCUGCUUUUUCGUGGGGGAUAACGUAGGGAAACUUACGCUAAUACCGCAUACGACCUACGGGUGAAAGCAGGGGAUCUUCGGACCUUGCGCGAUUGAAUGAGCCGAUGUCGGAUUAGCUAGUUGGCGGGGUAAAGGCCCACCAAGGCGACGAUCCGUAGCUGGUCUGAGAGGAUGAUCAGCCACACUGGAACUGAGACACGGUCCAGACUCCACGGGAGGCAGCAGUGGGGAAUAUUGGACAAUGGGCGCAAGCCUGAUCCAGCCAUACCGCGUGGGUGAAGAAGGCCUUCGGGUUGUAAAGCCCUUUUGUUGGGAAAGAAAAGCAGCAGGUUAAUACCCCGCUGUUCUGACGGUACCCAAAGAAUAAGCACCGGCUAACUUCGUG
rnacentral:rRNA from 1 species